UCUGUACUCCCUCCGUCCCAAAAUUCUUGUCUUAAAUUUGUCUAAAUACGGAUGUAUCUAGUUACAUUUUAGUGUUAGAUACAUCCGUAUCUAAACAAAUGUAAGACAAGAAUUUUGGGACGAAGGGAAUACUAC
rnacentral:pre_miRNA from 1 species